rnacentral:rRNA from 1 species
UACAGAGGUCUCAAGCGUUGUUCGGAUUCAUUGGGCGUAAAGGGUGUGUAGGUGGCGCCGUAAGUCGGGUGUGAAAUUUCGGAGCUUAACUCCGAAACUGCAUUCGAUACUGCGGUGCUUGAGGACUGGAGAGGAGACUGGAAUUUACGGUGUAGCAGUGAAAUGCGUAGAUAUCGUAAGGAAGACCAGUGGCGAAGGCGGGUCUCUGGACAGUUCCUGACACUGAGACACGAAGGCCAGGGGAGCAAACAGG